GUGCCAGCAGCCGCGGUAAUACGAAGGGGGCGAGCGUUGUUCGGAUUUACUGGGCGUAAAGGGCGCGCAGGCGGCAGACCAAGUCAGGCGUGAAAGCCCCGGGCUCAACCUGGGAACUGCGUUUGGGACUGGUUUGCUAGAGAUCGGGAGAGGAGAGUGGAAUUCCCAGUGUAGAGGUGAAAUUCGUAGAUAUUGGGAAGAACACCGGUGGCGAAGGCGGCUCUCUGGACCGAUACUGACGCUGAGGCGCGAAAGCGUGGGGAGCAAACAGGAUUAGAAACCCUGGUAGUCC
rnacentral:rRNA from 1 species